UCCGGUUGGAUGAAGUUUGGUUGCACUGGGAAUGCCGCUUUGUUGGUCUGAGGAAAAAGGACCCAGUCUUCAACAGCAAGAUCGAACAGGUCAGGCUUUCCAAAUAAUGACAUGAUGCCAGAAAUACUUAUCCCAACUCGAAGACGACCGUUGUGAAUGAAAUUCUUCAGGAGCGUUCUUUUCUCUCAACACCACGGAAAUAAUUCCACAGUGGCAGGAAAGGAAGACCCGGGACAUGGCAAAACCAUGCAGAUGCUAUGACAACGAAUGAAUGGACUCCACACAACAAUCACGAGACAGGGGUGUUCCCUCCCAAUGGGGGAACACUUCAGCAGUCAAGGGAAUUCGGCCUCAGAUCUUGGGGUAAAUGUCCUCCA